rnacentral:rRNA from 1 species
GCAGUCGAACGGCAGCGCGGGGGCAACCCUGGCGGCGAGUGGCGGACGGGUGAGGAAUGCGUCGGAAUCUACCUUCUGGUGGGGGAUAACCAGCCGAAAGGCUGGCUAAUACCGCAUGAGACCGAGAGGUGAAAGCGGGGGACCGAAAGGCCUCGCGCGAGAAGAUGAGCCGAUGUCCGAUUAGCUAGUUGGCGGGGUAAGAGCCCACCAAGGCGACGAUCGGUAGCUGGUCUGAGAGGAUGAUCAGCCACACUGGGACUGAGACACGGCCCAGACUCCCACGGGAGGCAGCAGUGGGGAAUAUUGGACAAUGGGCGCAAGCCUGAUCCAGCAAUGCCGCGUGUGUGAAGAAGGCCUUCGGGUUGUAAAGCACUUUUAUCGGGAGCGAAAAGCGGCCGGUUAAUACCUGGCCGUGCUGACGGUACCCGAGGAAUAAGCACCGGCUAACUUCGUGCCAGCAGCCGCGGUAAUACGAAGGGUGCAAGCGUUAAUCGGAAUUACUGGGCGUAAAGCGUGCGUAGACGGCCUUUUAAGUCUGCUGUGAAAGCCCUGGGCUCAACCUGGGAACUGCAGUGGAUACUGAGAGGCUGGAGUGCGGUAGAGGGAUGGUGGAAUUCCCGGUGUAGCGGUGAAAUGCGUAGAGAUCGGGAGGAACAUCAGUGGCGAAAGCGGCCAUCUGGACCAGCACUGACGUUGAGGC